ACCUGUUAGAAAAAUAUCGACAUAGCGUCCUCCUGAACAAAAUUGAAUAAUAAAAUCACUUAAAUACCUUUCAUUCUAAAAGUGAGCAUGUAGAUUGAUGUUUUGUUUGCCUUCAAAGUUGGAGCCAAGUAAAUACAGCCAACAUUUUGGUGCCUUGCGGUCACGGAUGGUGUUGUGAUGAGUGUGCGAUUCGCUUAGAUAAAUGCGGUGUCUGCAAAAUUGCAUUUCCUACAGCACAACCCAUCCAAAUAAUGCACGUUAAAUUAGGAGAUGGUAAAUGGAUGCAAAAUACUUCCUUACUCGAUCCAACUGGAAGUCAGUGCCUUGGAUAUAUGCACCAUGUACCUACAAUAUGUACCAGACCAGACGCAAUACAUACUGUUGGACUGUGGCCAUGGGUGGUAUUGUGCGACAUAUUGUAACUCAACACCACCGUCCUCAUGUGAGGUAUGUGGUGAUAUGGUCAAAGGCACUAUAAGAAUAUUUUUAAAUUAUUUUUAUAUUUCAUCAUUUUUUUGAUGAUUAUUUGUAUAGGUAGUUUUCUUUAUAUAUUUUUUUUCUUAUAAUUAUUUACCUUUAUAAUUGUAUGACUUGUUUAAUUCUUUUUAAGAUUGA